GUAGGGCGCGAGCGUUGUCCGGAAUUAUUGGGCGUAAAGAGCUCGUAGGCGGCUGGUCGCGUCUGUCGUGAAAUCCUCUGGCUUAACUGGGGGCUUGCGGUGGGUACGGGCCGGCUUGAGUGCGGUAGGGGAGACUGGAACUCCUGGUGUAGCGGUGGAAUGCGCAGAUAUCAGGAAGAACACCGGUGGCGAAGGCGGGUCUCUGGGCCGUUACUGACGCUGAGGAGCGAAAGCGUGGGGAGCGAACAGGAUUAGAUACCCUGGUAGUCCACGCCGUAAACGUUGGGCACUAGGUGUGGGGGGCCUUUUCCGGGUUUUCCGCGCCGUAGCUAACGCAUUAAGUACCCCGCCUGGGGAGU
rnacentral:rRNA from 1 species